rnacentral:rRNA from 1 species
UACGAAGGGGGCUAGCGUUGCUCGGAAUCACUGGGCGUAAAGGGUGCGUAGGCGGGUCUUUAAGUCAGGGGUGAAAUCCUGGAGCUCAACUCCAGAACUGCCUUUGAUACUGAGGAUCUUGAGUUCGGGAGAGGUGAGUGGAACUGCGAGUGUAGAGGUGAAAAUUCGUAGAUAUUCGCAAGAACACCAGUGGCGAAGGC